rnacentral:rRNA from 1 species
AUGAACGCUAGCGACAGGCUUAACACAUGCAAGUCGAGGGGCAGCACAGGUAGCAAUACCGGGUGGCGACCGGCGCACGGGUGAGUAACGCGUAUGCAACUUGCCUAUCAGAGGGGGAUAACCCGGCGAAAGUCGGACUAAUACCGCAUGAAGCAGGGGCCCCGCAUGGGGAUAUUUGCUAAAGAUUCAUCGCUGAUAGAUAGGCAUGCGUUCCAUUAGGCAGUUGGCGGGGUAACGGCCCACCAAACCGACGAUGGAUAGGGGUUCUGAGAGGAAGGUCCCCCACAUUGGUACUGAGACACGGACCAAACUCCUACGGGAGGCAGCAGUGAGGAAUAUUGGUCAAUGGCCGAGAGGCUGAACCAGCCAAGUCGCGUGAGGGAUGAAGGUUCUAUGGAUCGUAAACCUCUUUUAUAAGGGAAUAAAGUGCGGGACGUGUCCCGUUUUGUAUGUACCUUAUGAAUAAGGAUCGGCUAACUCCGUGCCAGCAGCCGCGGUAAUACGGAGGAUCCGAGCGUUAUCCGGAUUUAUUGGGUUUAAAGGGUGCGUAGGCGGCCUUUUAAGUCAGCGGUGAAAGUCUGUGGCUCAACCAUAGAAUUGCCGUUGAAACUGGGGGGCUUGAGUAUGUUUGAGGCAGGCGGAAUGCGUGGUGUAGCGGUGAAAUGCAUAGAUAUCACGCAGAACCCCGAUUGCGAAGGCAGCCUGCCAAGCCAUUACUGACGCUGAUGCACGAAAGCGUGGGGAUCAAACAGGAUUAGAUACCCUGGUAGUCCACGCAGUAAACGAUGAUCACUAGCUGUUUGCGAUACACUGUAAGCGGCACAGCGAAAGCGUUAAGUGAUCCACCUGGGGAGUACGCCGGCAACGGUGAAACUCAAAGGAAUUGACGGGGGCCCGCACAAGCGGAGGAACAUGUGGUUUAAUUCGAUGAUACGCGAGGAACCUUACCCGGGUUUGAACGCAUUUCGACCGCUCUGGAAACAGAGCCUCUAGCAAUAGCGAUUUGCGAGGUGCUGCAUGGUUGUCGUCAGCUCGUGCCGUGAGGUGUCGGCUUAAGUGCCAUAACGAGCGCAACCCUUAUCUUUAGUUACUAACAGGUCAUGCUGAGGACUCUAGAGAGACUGCCGUCGUGAGAUGUGAGGAAGGUGGGGAUGACGUCAAAUCAGCACGGCCCUUACGUCCGGGGCGACACACGUGUUACAAUGGCAGGGACAGAGGGAAGCCACCGGGCGACCGGGCGCGGACCCCGAAACCCUGUCUCAGUUCGGAUCGGAGUCUGCAACCCGACUCCGUGAAGCUGGAUUCGCUAGUAAUCGCGCAUCAGCCAUGGCGCGGUGAAUACGUUCCCGGGCCUUGUACACACCGCCCGUCAAGCCAUGGGAGCCGGGGGUACCUGAAGUCCGUAACCGCGAGGAUCGGCCUAGGGUAAAACUGGUGACUGGGGCU